rnacentral:rRNA from 1 species
AGUCACUGACAUUAGAUACCCCCGUAGUCCAGGGUGUAAACGCUGCAGACUUGGUGUUGGAGGCCCUUUGGGGGCAUUCAGUGCCGGAGAGAAGUUGUUAAGUCUGCUACUUGGGGAGUACGUCCGCAAGGAUGAAACUUAAAGGAAUUGGCGGGGGGAGCACCGCAACGGGAGGAGCGUGCGGUUUAAUUGGAUUCAACACCGUAAAACUCACCAGGGAAGACUGUUACAUGAAGGCCGAGAUGAAGACUCUGCUAGAUUUUCAG